AUGACCGCGUUGGCGCAGGGUGAUGGUUGGUUUGGUGGCUGGAUCCGGAGCGCCAAAGGUGCGGGUUGGGAUCGAGGGAAACCCCUGUCGGCGGGGCCGACACAGACGCGGUGGCGCCUGUGGGUGCCACCUGACCUUCUGGGAGGGCGUCAUGGGCUACCCUUCCUCUCGCCUCGUCGUGUACCGUGGGAAACCCUUGGCAGCAGCAUCAUCAUCAUCGCGAUCCUUCUUGGAGGUGUUGAUAGGUGCCGCCGCUUCGGAGUCUUGGAGUCUAGUGGAAGAUCCCGGUGGGCGCUGCGAUCGCGAGGCUUCUUCGUUUUUGUUGAUCCGCCAUUGUCGGCAUUUGUUUUCUUUUGUUCUUUCUCUAUCGUUUUUUUUGGGCGUGACUAUGCUGCUUCCGCCCCAGCACAUAUUCAUGUAUGGUUUGGUUGGUUGCUUUGUAUACAAAGCGGGGAAACCCUUUUUCGGUAUUCCAGAGUAGUCGCCGGGGUGCUGGAUCCGUAG
rnacentral:rRNA from 1 species